GUGUAGACGCCGCAGGGCUGCCCGGCGGGCAGGGCGCAGGAGGAAAAGUCUCUCCCGACGCAGCGAGCUGCUGGGAAGCUUGGUGGGUUGAUUAGCACAUGAGAGAUUCCAGCACAGCCUCAUCCAUCUGGAAAAGAGAAUGCAAAUGAGGAGAUUCACUCCAUGGAAAGGGCAAGGAUCACUAAAAGGCUGGAAUAUUCUCAGCAUCCUUGGAGCUGACUUCUGUGGGUGAACAGAGGGUGCCAACAGCCAAGAGUGUCUUUGCAGCUAUGGGUGUGAUGGGAGGGCCCCUUGUUGAAGGAUAU